UCCCUCCGGAUCCCUUAUCCCUCAAACCUAGAGUGGUUUGCAUGGCUUAAACGAGGAAAAGUAACAUUGAAAUGGACUUGGUGUCUUUAGUGACAAACAAGUUCAUCUCAAACCAAC
rnacentral:snoRNA from 1 species